GGAUUAUGGCUCGGUGGUAGAGCGCUUGCCUGGCAAGUGUGAGGCCUGGGUUUGAUCCUCAGCACCA
rnacentral:tRNA from 1 species